rnacentral:rRNA from 1 species
UUUGUCCUACGGGAGGCAGCAGUCGGGAAUAUUGCGCAAUGGAGGAAACUCUGACGCAGUGACGCCGCGUAUAGGAAGAAGGCCUUCGGAUUGUAAACUAUUGUCGUUAGGGAAGAAAAAGGACAGUACCUAAGGAGGAAGCUCCGGCUAACUACGUGCCAGCAGCCGCGGUAAUACGUAGGGAGCGAGCGUUAUCCGGAUUUAUUGGGUGUAAAGGGUGCGUAGACGGGAAUUUAAGUUAGUUGUGAAAUCCCUCGGCUCAACUGAGGAACUGCAACUAAAACUGGAUUUCUUGUGUGCGGGAG